AUUGAACGCUGGCGGCAUGCCUUACACAUGCAAGUCGAACGGCAGCACGGGAGCUUGCUCCUGGUGGCGAGUGGCGAACGGGUGAGUAAUACAUCGGAACGUGCCCAAUCGUGGGGGAUAACGUAGCGAAAGUUACGCUAAUACCGCAUACGAUCUACGGUUGAAAGCGGCGGACCGCAAGGCGUCGCGCGAUUGGAUGAACCGAUGUCCGAUUAGCUAGUUGGCGGGGUAAAGGCCCACCAAGGCGACGAUCGGUAGCUGGUCUGAGAGGACGACCAGCCACACUGGAACUGAGACACGGUCCAGACUCCUACGGGAGGCAGCAGUGGGGAAUUUUGGACAAUGGGCGCAAGCCUGGUCCAGCCAUGCCGCGUGAGUGAAGAAGGCCU
rnacentral:rRNA from 1 species